rnacentral:tRNA from 1 species
AUCGUCGUGGCCGAGUUGUUAAGGCGAAAGACUAUCAUUCUUUUGUGAUCUUUCCGCGCAGGUUCGCAUCCGGGCGGCGACG